rnacentral:rRNA from 1 species
UGGGGAAUUUUGGACAAUGGGGGAAACCCUGAUCCAGCCAUCCCGCGUGUGCGAUGAAGGCCUUCGGGUUGUAAAGCACUUUUGGCAGGAAAGAAACGUCGCGGGUUAAUACCCCGCGAAACUGACGGUACCUGCAGAAUAAGCACCGGCUAACUACGUGCCAGCAGCCGCGGUAAUACGUAGGGUGCAAGCGUUAAUCGGAAUUACUGGGCGUAAAGCGUGCGCAGGCGGUUCGGAAAGAAAGAUGUGAAAUCCCAGAGCUUAACUUUGGAACUGCAUUUUUAACUACCGGGCUAGAGUGUGUCAGAGGGAGGUGGAAUUCCGCGUGUAGCAGUGAAAUGCGUAGAUAUGCGGAGGAACACCGAUGGCGAAGGCAGCCUCCUGGGAUAACACUGACGCUCAUGCACGAAAGCGUGGGGAGCAAACAGGAUUAGAUACCCUGGUAGUCCACGCCCUAAACGAUGUCAACUAGCUGUUGGGGCCUUCGGGCCUUGGUAGCGCAGCUAACGCGUGAAGUUGACCGCCUGGGGAGUACGGUCGCAAGAUUAAAACUUAAAUGAAUUGACGGGGUCAU